UGUGGGAGCGAGCUUGCUCGCGAUAGCGUCAGCACAGUCAGUACGGCUGUGACUGACCCACCGCUAUCGCGAGCGAGCUCGCUCCCACA
rnacentral:misc_RNA from 1 species